GACGAACGCUGGCGGCGUGCCUAAUACAUGCAAGUCGAACGCUUCUUUCCUCCCGAGUGCUUGCACUCAAUUGGAAAGAGGAGUGGCGGACGGGUGAGUAACACGUGGGUAACCUACCCAUCAGAGGGGGAUAACACUUGGAAACAGGUGCUAAUACCGCAUAACAGUUUAUGCCGCAUGGCAUAAGAGUGAAAGGCGCUUUCGGGUGUCGUUGAUGGAUGGACCCGCGGUGCAUUAGCUAGUUGGUGAGGUAACGGCUCACCAAGGCCACGAUGCAUAGCCGACCUGAGAGGCUGAUCGGCCACACUAGGACUGAGCCACGGCCCAGACUCCUACGGGAGGCAGCAGUAGAGAAUCUUCAGCAAUGGACGAAAGUCUAACCGAGCAACGCCGCGUGAGUGAAGAAGGUUUUCGGAUCGUAAAACUCUGUUGUUAGAGAAGAACAAGGACGUUAGUAACUGAACGUCCCCUGACGGUAUCUAACCAGAAAGCCACGGCUAACUACGUG
rnacentral:rRNA from 1 species